rnacentral:rRNA from 1 species
AGAGUUUGAUCCUGGCUCAGGAUGAACGCUAGCUACAGGCUUAACACAUGCAAGUCGAGGGGCAGCAUGGUCUUAGCUUGCUAAGGCCGAUGGCGACCGGCGCACGGGUGAGUAACACGUAUCCAACCUGCCGUCUACUCUUGGACAGCCUUCUGAAAGGAAGAUUAAUACAAGAUGGCAUCAUGAGUCCGCAUGUUCACAUGAUUAAAGGUAUUCCGGUAGACGAUGGGGAUGCGUUCCAUUAGAUAGUAGGCGGGGUAACGGCCCACCUAGUCUUCGAUGGAUAGGGGUUCUGAGAGGAAGGUCCCCCACAUUGGAACUGAGACACGGUCCAAACUCCUACGGGAGGCAGCAGUGAGGAAUAUUGGUCAAUGGGCGAGAGCCUGAACCAGCCAAGUAGCGUGAAGGAUGACUGCCCUAUGGGUUGUAAACUUCUUUUAUAAAGGAAUAAAGUCGGGUAUGGAUACCCGUUUGCAUGUACUUUAUGAAUAAGGAUCGGCUAACUCCGUGCCAGCAGCCGCGGUAAUACGGAGGAUCCGAGCGUUAUCCGGAUUUAUUGGGUUUAAAGGGAGCGUAGAUGGAUGUUUAAGUCAGUUGUGAAAGUUUGCGGCUCAACCGUAAAAUUGCAGUUGAUACUGGAUAUCUUGAGUGCAGUUGAGGCAGGCGGAAUUCGUGGUGUAGCGGUGAAAUGCUUAGAUAUCACGAAGAACUCCGAUUGCGAAGGCAGCUCACUAGACUGUCACUGACACUGAUGCUCGAAAGUGUGGGUAUCAAACAGGAUUAGAUACCCUGGUAGUCCACACAGUAAACGAUGAAUACUCGCUGUUUGCGAUAUACAGUAAGCGGCCAAGCGAAAGCAUUAAGUAUUCCACCUGGGGAGUACGCCGGCAACGGUGAAACUCAAAGGAAUUGACGGGGGCCCGCACAAGCGGAGGAACAUGUGGUUUAAUUCGAUGAUACGCGAGGAACCUUACCCGGGCUUAAAUUGCAGAUGAAUUACGGUGAAAGCCGUAAGCCGCAAGGCAUCUGUGAAGGUGCUGCAUGGUUGUCGUCAGCUCGUGCCGUGAGGUGUCGGCUUAAGUGCCAUAACGAGCGCAACCCUUGUUGUCAGUUACUAACAGGUUCCGCUGAGGACUCUGACAAGACUGCCAUCGUAAGAUGUGAGGAAGGUGGGGAUGACGUCAAAUCAGCACGGCCCUUACGUCCGGGGCUACACACGUGUUACAAUGGGGGGUACAGAGGGCCGCUACCACGCGAGUGGAUGCCAAUCCCCAAAACCUCUCUCAGUUCGGACUGGAGUCUGCAACCCGACUCCACGAAGCUGGAUUCGCUAGUAAUCGCGCAUCAGCCACGGCGCGGUGAAUACGUUCCCGGGCCUUGUACACACCGCCCGUCAAGCCAUGGGAGCCGGGGGUACCUGAAGUGCGUAACCGCGAGGAGCGCCCUAGGGUAAAACUGGUGACUGGGGCUAAGUCGUAACAAGGUAGCCGUACCGGAAGGUGCGGCUG